rnacentral:lncRNA from 1 species
UGAUGAUGACGACGAUGAUGAUGAUGAUGAUGAUGAUGAUGAUGACGAUGACAUUGAUGAUGAAGAUGGUGAGGACGAUGAUGACAGUGAUAACGACGCCUAUGGCGACGAUGAUGAUGACUAUAAUAAUGAUGAUAGUGAUGACGUUGAUAUUGGUGAUUUUGAUUACUUUGGUGAUUUUAAUAAUUUAUGUAAUUAUAUUGUUAGCGAUGAUCUACUUGAACUUACAAGGCAAUUUUGCUAUUCGCUGAAAGCGCGGAUAUUAGAAAGACGAUCGAAAUCAUUAAAAGCAAAGUUCGAUUAUUACAACAUACCCUACUGAUUAAAUGCAACAUAAUAGUUUUUGGCAAUGGUCAAUACCGGUUCAGUAUUAUACCUUUGGAGUGUGAAUACCCUAAUAACUUGAGUUUUGAUUUUUUUU